rnacentral:tRNA from 1 species
GCAUUUAUGGGUCAGUGGUAGAAUUCUUGCCCUCCAUGUAAGACACCCGGGUUUGAUUCCCAGCCAAUGCA